GUUUCCGUAGUGUAGUGGUUAUAACGUUUGCCUUACACGCAAAAGAGCCCCGGUUUGAGACCGGGUGGAAACA